rnacentral:rRNA from 1 species
GCUUUAUAAAUAAUUUAAAUUUAAUUGAUUUAUUAAUUAAAGGUUGAAUUUAACUAUUUUAUUUUGUUGGGGUGAUGUGAGUAUAAGUUAUAUUAACUGCUUAAAAGAAAUUCUAUCAUAAAAGAGUCUAUAGUGUAGAUGAUCCUUUAUAAAGAUUAAAAGACUAAGUU